GACGAACGCUGGCGGCGUGCUUAACACAUGCAAGUCGAACGAUGACGACCGAGCUUGCUCGGUCUGAUUAGUGGCGAACGGGUGAGUAACACGUGAGCAACCUGCCCUUCACUCUGGGAUAACCUCGGGAAAUCGGGGCUAAUACCGGAUAUGAGCUCCUGUCGCAUGGCGGGGGUUGGAAAGUUUUUCGGUGAGGGAUGGGCUCGCGGCCUAUCAGUUUGUUGGUGAGGUAGUGGCUCACCAAGGCGAUGACGGGUAGCCGGCCUGAGAGGGCGACCGGCCACACUGGGACUGAGACACGGCCCAGACUCCUACGGGAGGCAGCAGUGGGGAAUAUUGCACAAUGGGCGAAAGCCUGAUGCAGCGACGCCGCGUGAGGGAUGACGGCCUUCGGGUUGUAAACCGCUUUCAGCAGGGAAGAAGCGAAAGUGACGGUACCUGCAGAAGAAGCGCCGGCUAACUACGUG
rnacentral:rRNA from 1 species